GAUCAGCGCUGACGCUGUGCUGGACGUUUGAAUACAUCCGUGAUUGCUGCCAGCUGCAGGCUGAGUGCCUCCUGAGUUGCUGAGGUCUCCUGUGUCCACUUCUGUUGCCUGAUGGUAAUCUGCAGGAAAGGCAUGGCAGGAUUUUACAAAUGAGGAAGCAGUGUCGUGGCAGAGGGGUGCAUCACUGCUAUCCCACCUCAGCACCAAGCAGAGCCAGCUGAACACUGCCAGCAAUGCCUAUGGCACAUGGCUUGUGUGCUGGGCAGGACUCAGACUUCUUGCUGGCCACAGGGAUUUUCCAAGCUUACCAGUUAGAUCUUCCUAACGAGGAGCAGGGAGAAGCGGAGCACAUGGAUUUCUAAACACGCUGGGAUUUUAUACAGCUACAAAAAUAAGAACGACAACAGAACCUGACCCUACCGAAAGCAGUCAAAUGAAUCGUAAUUGCAGAUCAAUGCAGAGAAAUGGGGAAACUUCACUCGAAGCAUGGUUAGUUCCUUUCACUUGCUACUUCCUUAGCCCUUUCCCCUUAUUCGGAUUUUACUUGGUUUGUUGCUGUGAUUUUAUACUGGUGUCUAACGAUCUUCCUUUAUUAUUUUCCUCACACACUUUCCUCUGGAUCUGCCUAGCCGCCGUUUGUAAACCCAGAGAAAGUCCGGAAGGUGAUAGUUUUGCGGUGAACGCCUCUCUGGCUCGCAAAGGGCUGGAGGACUGGAUGGUGAAGCAGAAAUACUCCGGGGGCAGCGGCAGCAGCAGCGGAGGCAGCAGCUCGGGACUCCAGGGCUGCCAGCACCGGACUGCUUGCGGGCUCUCCAGCGGCAGGGCUAACGGUUACUGGUGGACAGUUCUUCUGUGUCAACAGAUGCUAUGA
ensembl:lncRNA